rnacentral:lncRNA from 1 species
CGUUUCCAACGAAGGCCUCUAAGWGGYCAARWUAUCCACKUGCAGACUUUACAAACAGAGUGUUUCCAAACUGCUGAAUGAAAAGAAARGUUAAACUCUGUGAGUUGAACGCACACAUCACAGAGCAGUUUCUGAGAAUGAUUCUGUCUAGUUUUUAUACGAAGAUAUUUCCUUUUCUGCCUUUGGCCUCAAAGCGCUUGAAAUCUCCACUUGCAAAUUCCACAAAAAGAGUGUUUCAAAUCUGCUCUGUGUAAAGGAACGUUCAACUCUGUGAGUUGAAUACACACAACACAAGGAAGUUACUGAGAAUUCUUCUGUCUAGCAUAAUAUGAAGAAAUCCCGUUUCCAACGAAGGCCUCAAGGAGGUCUGAAUAUCCACUUGCAGACUUUACAAACAGAGUGUUUCCUAACUGCUCUAUGAAAAGAAAGGUUAAACUCUGUGAGUUGAACGCACACAUCACAAAGGAGUUUCUGAGAAUCAUUCUGUCUAGUUUUUAUACGAAGAUAUUUCCUAUUCUACCAUUGACCUCAAAGCGGCUGAAAUCUCCACUUGCAAAUUCCACAAAAAGAGUGUUUCAAGUCUGCUCUGUGUAAAGGAUCGUUCAACUCUGUGAGUUGAAUACACACAACACAAGGAAGUUACUGAGAAUUCUUCUGUCUAGCAGAAUAUGAAGAAAUCCCGUUUCCAACGAAGGCCACAAGAUGUCAGAAUAUCCACUUACAGACUUUACAAACAGAGUGU